AUUGAACGCUGGCGGCAUGCCUUACACAUGCAAGUCGAACGGUAACGCGGGGCAACCUGGCGACGAGUGGCGAACGGGUGAGUAACGCAUCGGAACGUGCCCAGUAGUUGGGGAUAGCCCGGCGAAAGCCGGAUUAAUACCGCAAACGACCUCCGGGUGAAAGGGGGGGGUCGCAAGACCUCUCGCUAUUGGAGCGGCCGCUGUCAGAUUAGGUAGUUGGUGGGGUAAAGGCCCACCAAGCCUUCGAUCUGUAGCUGGUCUGAGAGGACGACCAGCCACACUGGGACUGAGACACGGCCCAGACUCCUACGGGAGGCAGCAGUGGGGAAUUUUGGACAGUGGGCGCAAGCCUGAUCCAGCCAUGCCGCGUGCGGGAAGAAGGCCUUCGGGUUGUAAACCGCUUUUGUCAGGGAAGAAACGCUCUGGGCUAAUACCCCGGGGUAAUGACGGUACCUGAAGAAUAAGCACCGGCUAACUACGUGCCAGCAGCCGCCGCAG
rnacentral:rRNA from 1 species